rnacentral:piRNA from 1 species
UCUGAGGUGUGAAGGUUCCUACACACGCAU